GAAUGAAGAUGUGAACAUCUUUGGAGGACCAGGAUUCUGCCUAGCACAAGUAGUUAUAAAUGAAGUGCAGAAAACUAAUACUGAUGACACCAUAAAGAACAGCUGACUGCCAUUGUGGUCAUGAAGAGUCUCCUUGAACAGGAAUAUUUAAGGUAUCUGAAAACUGAAGAGUGGAGAAUAUGUUCAGGCAGGAAACACAAGGAUUCUUUUAGAAAUAUGAGGUAGAAGUUCCUUGAAGAUUCUGGAUGUUAGUCCUUAAAUACAUGGGACAUAAUUACACUAAAAAGCUUCUGCACAGCAAAAGAAAUAAUCAGCAGAGUAAACAGACAACCAACAGAAUGGGAGAAG